AACGCACCUUGCGCUCCUUGGUAUUCCGAGGAGCAUGCCUGUUUGAGUGUCAUUAAAUUCUCAACCUUUAUCAACUUUUGCUGAUAAUUGGCUUGGAUAUGGGGGUCUUUUUGCUGGCUUCUUCACAGAUGGUCAGCUCCCCUUAAAUGCAUUAGCCGGUGCCCCGCGUGGACUGUCUAUUGGUGUGAUAAUUAUCUACGCCGUGGACAUCUGCAAUCAUAUGGGUUUGCACUGCUUCCAACUGUCUGUUCAUUCAGACAAUACAUGACAAUUUGACCUCAAAUCAGGUAGGACUACCCGCUGAACUUAA
rnacentral:misc_RNA from 1 species